AUUGAACGCUAGCGGGAUGCUUUACACAUGCAAGUCGAACGGCAGCACGAAAAGAGCUUGCUCUUUUUGGUGGCGAGUGGCGAACGGGUGAGUAAUGUAUCGGAACGUACCCAGUAGCGGGGGAUAACUACGCGAAAGCGUGGCUAAUACCGCAUACGCCCUACGGGGGAAAGGGGGGGAUCGCAAGACCUCUCACUAUUGGAGCGGCCGAUAUCGGAUUAGCUAGUUGGUGGGGUAAAGGCUCACCAAGGCAACGAUCCGUAGCUGGUUUGAGAGGACGACCAGCCACACUGGGACUGAGACACGGCCCAGACUCCUACGGGAGGCAGCAGUGGGGAAUUUUGGACAAUGGGGGAAGCCCUGAUCCAGCCAUCCCGCGUGUGCGAUGAAGGCCUUCGGGUUGUAAAGCACUUUUGGCAGGGAAGAAACGGCGCUGACUAAUACUUGGCGCAACUGACGGUACCUGCAGAAUAAGCACCGGCUAACUACGUG
rnacentral:rRNA from 1 species